AGAUAAAUAGUUUAUUAAAAUUUUUAUUUUGCACAUAAAAGUAGAAUUUUUUCUUUAUCUU
rnacentral:tRNA from 1 species